rnacentral:lncRNA from 1 species
AUCGCCUUCAAAGGAGCCUUGUACACAAUCUCUAGGUGAGGAAUGACUUUUUAAUCCGAGGCAUAAGAUCUCAAAUUAACAGCCCAUUAUUAUGGAAGUUCUUUAUUGAUCGCCAAAAUGGGUUAGGUAUACCUGUUAACAAGAACCUGAGACCUGCCGAACAGCAGGUGCCAAAGAUGCUGCUGUAACACCAUAGCCCUCCCAUCUUCCAUCCUCCACUGGCGCUGAGUGGCAGCCCCAUGUGACAGGAAGUGGAGGCAGAGCUGGGCCAGCCCAGGAGCCACGUGCUGGAGCCAGAUACUCUUUUUCUACAAAUGGAAAGUUUGUGGCAUCCUUGACUCAAGCAAAUUUUUCAGCACCAUUUCUCAAGAGCGUGUGCUCACUUCACCUCUCUGUAUCGUGUUUUGAUGCUUGCCCUGGAAACCAACCAUGAUGCUGUGAUGUUGGCAACUGAGUUGUGUUUCAGCCCAAAGCAGCAAAUGGAAUCCAGCUUCAGGACCAUCAUCUGACAUAGGGGAAGAAGACUUACAUAGAAGGCCUAACCAGCA